CAGUCACCAGUUCGGCCUGAAUGGGAGAAGAGGGCUGAACAAGCAGAGGUCUCCUCCACACCAGGAGGAUGAAUUAACAGCACCUCUGCUGGAGCCUCAUCAGACAUCUAAGACAUUCUGGAAUUGCCCUGGAGUGUCCAGGAAUGAUUCCAAUCUCCUGCUGCAAAUGAACCAAGAGGUGCAACAGAAGACUCCUCACUUUCCACGGUCCUGUUGUGACAGAAUCCUCUCGAGAUGAGAAGCUCAUCUAUUAAUGACGGUGCUCUUAGCUGCUCGGGUCUCCUCGGAGGUAGAGAUUAGACACAGCAGAGGUCCUUCUGCAGCUCCUCCGAUGGCAUAUAAACACCCCUGAGUGCGUUACCAAUUAAACUUGAACAGCACUGGCAGCCAGCUCAAAUCAGUUGCGAUCCAGUAGGGGUGCUGUUUACCAAGGAGGACCUUUUCUUUUGAUAGAUUGUAUCUGGUCAGAAAUAAUUAGUUAAGUGAAGUGAACAAGAGGUAUCUCCUGCUAUAUCCUUGGUUGUGAUUAUGUUUUUUAUACACUGUAUAUUGGUUAAUUGUAUUCCAAAUAGAAGUCUUUUUUCUGUCAAUGGAAAUUGCAGGAAAAUCGAAUCUGAAUAUUUUAAGAUUAUACACAGAGUGGCCCACAGAAGUCCAGUGCAGAGCAUUGCUCUGUGUGUACUGUAGACCCAAGGUGUGCCUCUAAAGAGCAAACUGAUCGGUCCUGCCCUGGGUGCAACUGAAUACAUAGGCUAUUGAUCAUCUGUUGCUGUACAACCUGUUGAAAAUGAGAGGGAUGAAACCUUCUAGCUUGGUUUUAUUGUGAGAGAAGGGGCAAUGAGAAGGAUCUAAUUGGCCAACCUUGUAUCUGGCUGGGUUUCGAACUAAUGUGCAAGGACUCUGGGUCAGACGGUAUACUCUGGCUCAGCACACACUCUGAGGGACAGACCCCUGGCACUGUGUCGGGUCUGGGUUUGAUGGAUGGUGUACUGAGGAGCCCUUGCAGGGCCACGGUCCAGUCCACCUUGUCGACCCAGAAGAAUUUCACCCUGGAGAUAUCGUCCUGCACUAGGAAGAAAUUAGCUCAACCGAGUUGUGCUGCAUCAGUUAUGUUUACCGACAUGACAGUAGAGAAAAAUGCCUAGCAGUCCCGGAUCUCACAACUUCACUAUACUGAUACGUGAGAGCCUACACAGACAUCAGAUACUUGAAACAUGAAUUACAUCCCUUCUGUGACCAAACCAUUACUAGUUUUUACAUUAGAUAAAGCUGUAGAAAUACUGAGCACCAGGACUUCUCAGGAAAGAAAUGAGAGUUAAACCUUCAUGUCAAAUAACAAAAAUUAUGAUUUGCAUUCUAAUGUUAACAUAUUUUUAUAUUCAAGUUUGUUUAGACUAAGUUUUAUGUGAUAAAGUCUAUACUGGUCCGUCCUUGCGUGUCAGUCUUGCCGCGUCCUCAGCACGAGUGGGUACAUGUGCCUGCACAGUAUGUCUGUGUUUCGCAUGAGGUUUUUGGAGGGACUUGGCAUAGAGUAAAAAUUAAAAUUAUUUUUUUCCUCCUGCUGUUUGUGAAGUACAGAUUAAAAUGCAGGAAAGACUUGGGAUCUAAACAGAGCUUGUCUUGAGUUAGUGAAGAGCAUAACCUUUUCAUUAAGUACGCAGCCACAGGCAGGGACUGUGCACUGAAAAUGGAAAUAAAAAUACUCCCUUCUGUCACUCAAGACAGAGCUCUGGACUUGGUAAGCUGAAAACCUCAUCAGCCAUCAACUCAUUUCAGCACAACAUCUGCCAUUUUCUUGCCCAAAAUGUAACCAAACACAAAGCUUUGAGCCUGGCUUUUUCAGUCAUUUGCCUCAUUAGGGUAUAUUACAGUAUUUCAGUAGCCAGGAUCCUUUAUUUUGUGAAGAUGCCCUUAUUAAUGGAUUCUGUAGUUUUUGUAUAUUCAAAGAUGUCCCUAUUUGCCCCCACUUAGUUUACUAAAUUACUAAAUGUACUAAACUUUUAAUAACUGAUUUCAUGGUCUUAUAACUAAACUAGA